CAGUCGCCGCGGGAAUACAGAGGGUGCGAGCGUUAAUCGGAUUUACUGGGCGUAAAGCGUGCGUAGGCGGCUUUUUAAGUCGGAUGUGAAAUCCCUGAGCUUAACUUAGGAAUUGCAUUCGAUACUGGGAAGCUAGAGUAUGGGAGAGGAUGGUAGAAUUCCAGGUGUAGCGGUGAAAUGCGUAUAGAUCUGGAGGAAUACCGAUGGCGAAGGCAGCCAUCUGGCCUAAUACUGACGCUGAGGUACGAAAGCAUGGGGAGCAAACAGGAUUAGAUACCCCCGUAGUCCCUGUCUCUUAUAC
rnacentral:rRNA from 1 species